rnacentral:rRNA from 1 species
UACGUAGGGUGCAAGCGUUAAUCGGAAUUACUGGGCGUAAAGCGUGCGCAGGCGGCUUUGCAAGACAGAUGUGAAAUCCCCGGGCUUAACCUGGGAACUGCAUUUGUGACUGCAUGGCUGGAGUGCGGCAGAGGGGGAUGGAAUUCCACGUGUAGCAGUGAAAUGCGUAGAUAUGUGGAGGAGCACGAUGGCGAAGGCAGCCCCCUGGGCUAACACUGACGCUCAUGCACGAAAGCGUGGGGAGCAAACAGG